CGUAGAAGAUGAAAGCAGAGCUAAAGAGAAACAUGAAGCCUUAAAUCACUCUCCUCAAGCUCCACUUCCUUCUGUGAAUGAUUCUUCCUUGACUUAAUUUUUAUUGUGCACGCAAUAAAACAAUCCCUGAUUGUGAGCAAACGCCUAAGAAAAGAGCUCAACACGUCGGUGACACGAUUUCUAAGAGUCUGGCCCACCCCUUUACUCCCACCCUGGGCCCUUCUCUGCUAAUAAUCCUGGUUAAGUGCAGGCAUCAGGUGGUGGUCCUUGGAUCUCAAGAAAGUCUAUUUUCUGCCCGGAAAGCUGUUGGGUGAGGAUCUGAUAUUUGAACUGCUGCAGCCCUCUCACUACUGAGGAAGAGGCGAAGAGAACCAUAUCCCUGACCCAGAGCUCUGCCUUUGCUGAACUACUGAACUUGCCCCAGCAAAAAUCUAUCUCCACAUAUCUAGUUUGUGAAAAAAUCAAAUCCUGCUUUUUAAAGCCCCUGUUAGUUAGAAAUGCUCUUGCUUGCAACCAAACACAUUCCUCAACAGAUGCAAUAAUUUGUGUAUUCAUAAAAAAAAAAUACAGUAUGCCAGAU